CCUGAGUGUAAACCCCCCAGAUAGCGGACAGAACUACGGAUCAUUGGUAUGGAUUAAUAUGUGACUGGAGUAUACCAUGUCUUCAGCAGGGGUGGACCUUUGUGUUUUCCUGAACCGGCCAAACAUAUGAUAAUGAUGAAGCUAUAUCAGGCUGCAGCCCCGACAUAUGCUACCUCGUCACCAUGUUGGCUCCUCCGUAACACAACAUGACCAGUGUUUUGCUGAUGUUGCUGCUGCCAGUCAUCAGAGCCCAGCGUGUGUCCCCUGUCCCAUCAUGUCCUGCUUCCUGUGUGGUUUGCUCUGAGGACGCGGUCAUUUGUCAAAGACUGGCCUACAUAAUAGGUAAAAUACAAACCAUUCCUCCAACUAUCAGUGCACAUAUGAGGGCAGUAUGGCUGUGCUACAGUAACCUUUAGUACAAACAUGGGCAUUGCAGUAUACAGACACAAAACAUUAGCAAUGAUUGCUUGUUUGCUGUAUUUUUCUCCAGUGUCAGCACGUUGACACAGAUCAAGUUAAAUGAAAAAAAAAAAAAAAAAAAGUUUUCAGUCAUGAAAUAGUUAUAAGGAGUUGAAGUCCCAUGUGCUAAAACUGCUGCGUAUGUUCCUUUCUUUGACCAGAUGCUCCAGGUUCAACCCAGGCUCUGCUGCUGACAGAGGGCUCCAUCUCUACAGUCCAGCCUGCCUCACUGUCUGACCUAAGCAACAUUACAGUCAUAGGUCAGCACAAAUGAAAAAUGGAUUUGUAUUUAUGCACAUUAGG